UACGAAGGGGGCUAGCGUUGCUCGGAAUCACUGGGCGUAAAGGGUGCGUAGGCGGGUUUCUAAGUCAGGUGUUUAAUCCCGGGGCCCAACCCCGGACAGGCACUUGAAACUGGGAAUCUUGAAUAGUGGAGAGGUCAGUGGAAGUUGGGGGUGUAGCGGUGGAAUGCGUAGAGAUCCCCAAGAACACCAGUUGCGAAGGCGGCUGACUGGACACAUAUUGACGCUGAGGCUCGAAAGCAUGGGGAGCAAACAGG
rnacentral:rRNA from 1 species